rnacentral:rRNA from 1 species
AGUGAACGCUGGCGGUAGGCCUAACACAUGCAAGUCGAACGGCAGCACAGGAGAGCUUGCUCUCUGGGUGGCGAGUGGCGGACGGGUGAGGAAUACAUCGGAAUCUACCUUUUCGUGGGGGAUAACGCAGGGAAACUUACGCUAAUACCGCAUACGACCUACGGGUGAAAGUGGGGGACCGCAAGGCCUCACGCGAUUAGCUGAGCGGAUGUCCGAUUAGCUAGUUGGCGGGGUAAUGGCCCACCAAGGCGACGAUCGGUAGCUGGUCUGAGAGGAUGAUCAGCGACACUGGAACUGAGACACGGUCCAGACUCCUACGGGAGGCAGCAGUGGGGAAUAUUGGACAAUGGGCGCAAGCCUGAUCCAGCCAUACCGCGUGGGUGAAGAAGGCCUUCGGGUUGUAAAGCCCUUUUGUUGGGAAAGAAAUCCUGUCGAUUAAUACUCGGUGGGGAUGACGGUACCCAAAGAAUAAGCACCGUCUAACUUCGUGCCAGCCGCCGCCGUAAAAC